rnacentral:lncRNA from 13 species
GGACUUGAGCACCAGUGGAUGUUGGUCUAGGGGGUGGUUCCUACAACCAAUUCCUCCUAAAUACCAAGCAAUAACUAUAUGUGCCAUUAGAAUGUGGUUCAUUGCUAUUUUAAUCACAUACCGUGUUUUCUUAACUCAUUUAUUUAAUACAUAAAAAGUUUGUUUGUUUGUUUCUUAGACAAUCUCACUCUAUUGCCCAGGCUGAAGUGCAAUGUCACAAUCUCAGAUCACUGCAACCUUGGCCUCCCAGAUUCAAGGGAUUCUUAUGCCUCAGCUUCCCCAGUAGCUGGGAUUACAGCUUCCUGUCUUUCUUCAGAAGAUGUCUCCAAGUAGUCACCAGUCACAAAUUAUCUAUCUACAUACUAUAUCAAAUCACUAUGCAGUUCUGGAAGUCAGAAGUCGGAAACCAGUUUUACUAGGUCAAAAUCAAGGUGUCAAGGCUGUGCUCUCCCUGGGGGCUCUGGAAAAGGUCAAUGGCUCGAAAGUGAUCCACUGAAGAAUGAAACAAGGGCUGAAAGUAGAAAUACAAACACUCCAAAGCAAAGCUGCAAUCUAAAUCUGUGUGUGCUGCAAAAGCAAGUUGCCCAAAACGACAUAAUAAGAAACAGACAACGGCAUUUCUUCUAACUUCCUAACUUACAUUAUCAUUAUUAGCCAAUAUUUAAAUACCUUAAAAGUAAUUGACGCUAUCCUAAUUAUUCGAUUAUAUUAAAAAUCAAGCAUUAAAUAUUUCACCAUCAAAAUGACUGUAUUGACUUUUUAAUUAACAUAAUUUUGGAAGGAAUCCACA